UGGGGAAUAUUGGACAAUGGACCAAAAGUCUGAUCCAGCAAUUCUGUGUGCACGAUGACGUUUUUCGGAAUGUAAAGUGCUUUCAGUUGGGAAGAAAAAAAGUGACGGUACCAACAGAAGAAGUGACGGCUAAAUACGUGCCAGCAGCCGCGGUAAUACGUAUGUCACAAGCGUUAUCCGGAUUUAUUGGGCGUAAAGCGCGUCUAGGUGGUUAUGUAAGUCUGAUGUGAAAAUGCAGGGCUCAACUCUGUAUUGCGUUGGAAACUGCAUGACUAGAGUACUGGAGAGGUAAGCGGAACUACAAGUGUAGAGGUGAAAUUCGUAGAUAUUUGUAGGAAUGCCGAUGGGGAAGCCAGCUUACUGGACAGAUACUGACGCUAAAGCGCGAAAGCGUGGGUAGCAAACAGGAUUAGAUACCCUGGUAGUCCACGCCGUAAACGAUGAUUACUAGGUGUUGGGGGUCGAACCUCAGCGCCCAAGCUAACGCGAUAAGUAAUCCGCCUGGGGAGUACGUACGCAAGUAUG
rnacentral:rRNA from 1 species